AUUAUAAUCCCUCCGUCCGAAAAUACUUGUCAUUGAAAUGGAUGUAUCUAGAUGUAUUUAGUUCUAGAUACAUCUAUUUUCAUCCAUUUUGAUGACAAGUAAUUCCGGACGGAGAAAGUAUAAG
rnacentral:pre_miRNA from 1 species